rnacentral:rRNA from 1 species
GACGUAGGGCGCGAGCGUUUGUCCGGAUUUAUUGGGCGUAAAGAGCUCGUAGGCGGCUUGUCGCGUCGUGUGUGAAAUCUCAGGGCUCAACUCUGACAUUGCAUACGAUACGGGCAGGCUUGAGUUCGGUAGGGGAGACUGGAAUUCCUGGUGUAGCGGUGAAAUGCGCAGAUAUCAGGAGGAACACCGGUGGCGAAGGCGGGUCUCUGGGCCGAUACUGACGCUGAGGAGCGAAAGCGUGGGGAGCGAACAGG